GGCAUCGAUGCGUGUGGUAGAUUUUUUCAUACCUCCACACUAUUCUCGAUCGUUUUGGCUCUGAUACCAAUUGUCACGGUUUCAGAUUUUGACACUGGCCUGGAACCGUGUGGCACUUGGUUUGAACUCUUUUCAAGCCAAGUCAGCCAAGCUCUCUACGCGUUCACCUGGACAAAGGAACGUAAAGGUUAGGACCUCCUGCCCCAUUCUCGUAAAAACGGGAAAUACCACAGUUAUCAUAUGAAAAUAUCAUGAUCAGAUAAUUAUAGCAACACAAGCACAUCAACAAGCAACCAAG
rnacentral:lncRNA from 1 species